UUGCAGUUAAAAAGCUCGUAGUUGGAUCUCAGGUCCCGGCUCGCGGUUCACCUCGCGGUGCUUACUGCCCGUCCGGACCUACCCGCCGGUUCUCCCUUGGUGCUCUUCACUGAGUGUCUCGGGUGCCCGGAAAGUUUACUUUGAAAAAAUUAGAGUGUUCAAAGCAGGCGCUUCGCCUAGAUAAUGGUGCAUGGAAUAAUGGAAUAGGACCUCGGUUCUAUUGUGUUGGUUUUCGGAGCUCGAGGUAAUGAUUAAGAGGGACAGACGGGGGCAUUCGUAUUACGGUGUUAGAGGUGAAAUUCUUGGAUCGCCGUAAGACGAACUACUGCGAAAGCAUUUGCCAAGAAUGUUUUCAUUAAUCAAGAACGAAAGUCAGAGGUUCGAAGACGAUCAGAUACCGUCCUAGUUCUGACCAUAAACGAUGUCGACUGGGGAUCUAGAAGAGUUGUUUCACUGACCUUCUAGGCACCCUCCGGGAAACCUUAAGUCUAUGGAUUCCGGGGGAAGUAUGGUUGCAAAGCUGAAACUUAAAAGGA
rnacentral:rRNA from 1 species